rnacentral:rRNA from 1 species
UACCCAACAGCUAGCCCAACACCCUAAAACCAACCCUAAAAGAUUAAUAACCCCUAAGACAUAAUACUAGUAUUAAACAAAACAUUUUUCCCCCUCAGUAUGGGAGACAGAAAAGGAACCCCAGAGCAAUAGAGAAAGUACCGCAAGGGAAAGCUGAAAUAACAAAUGAAACAACUUAUUAAAGUAAGAAAAAGCAGAGCUAUGUCCUCGUACCUUUUGCAUCAUGAUUUAGCUAGUAACAAUCAAGCAAAGAGUACUUUAGUUUGCCACCCCGAAACUAMGUGAGCUACUCCAAGACAGCCUACCAAACAGGGCCUACCCGUAUCUGUGGCAAAAGAUUGGGGAGAACUUCGAGUAGAGGUGAUAAGCCUACCGAACUUAGUUAUAGCUGGUUGCUUAAGAAAUGAAUAGAAGUUCAGCCUCCCGGCUCCUCUAUUUUGGCCCCCUUACUAAUACCCUAAGACAUAUAGAGUAACCGAGAGAGUUAUUCAGAGGAGGAACAGCUCCCCUGAAAUAAGAUACAACUUUAUUAGAUGGUUAAAGAUCAUA